rnacentral:lncRNA from 1 species
UGCUAUUUUAUUUAUGGUUCUUAUGUUUAGAUAAUUAUUUACGCUAUUUCUAAUGGAGUUACUAAUGAUCUUUUGUUUUUGUUUUUAUUUUUCCUUUCCUUCACUGAGCCGAAGGUCGAUCGGAAACAGCCUCUCUGCCCUUUCGGGUAAAGGUAAGGCUCGUCUACAUAUUACCCUCCCCAGACCCCACUUGUGGUACUAUACUGGAUAGUUAUUGUUGUUGUUAUUAUUAUUUAUUUUUGGAAUAGAUUAAA